AAACAUGGCCUUUGGAGAAAAUAAAAGGUCCAACCUGCCCACUGAAAAUUAAAGGGCCGCGGUAAUUUGACCGUGCAAAGGUAGCAUAAUCAUUAGUCUCUUAAUUGGGGGCUAGCAUGAACGGUUAGACGAAAUAAAAGCUGUCUCAAUAUAAUAAAUGAAUUUUACUUUUUAGUGAAAAGGCUAAAAUAUAAUUGGAGGACGAGAAGACCCUAUAGAUCUUGAUAAUAUAAAUUUUAUAAGUUUGGCAAACGUAAUAAUAAGAAUCUAUUUUAUUUGGUUGGGGUGACUACAAAAUAAAUAAACUUUUUUAAUUAAAACAAAGAUGUUUGAAUACGGGAUCCAUUGUAAUGAUUAUAAGAUUAAGUUACCUUAGGGAUAACAGCAUAAUCUUUCUGGAGAGUUCUAAUCGAUAGAAAGGAUUGUGACCUCGAUGUUGGAUUAGAAUGGGGUUUAGGUGCAGAAGC
rnacentral:rRNA from 1 species